ensembl:lncRNA
ACGCCCAGCCUCUACUGUGAUAGGCCAACAGACGGUUUGGAACUGUCUAUCACAGUAUAAAGAAUACUGUUUACAUACAUCUUGUCAGUUCUCUGUUUUGCCCUGCGAGGUGGGACAGAGAGCCCGUAUAUACGAAAAUUGCAUUUACCACUUAUUUGCUUAGCUAAUAAAAAAUACAUAGUAUACAAUCGGUGACUCAUUGUCAUAUUUAUCCUGAUACCAGAUUUGAAUUUACGCAACUCUAACACGAACGAACAUUGUUCAGUUUCUUCCAAAUUUAAUGGUAUUGUGAGUUUCCAUAGUUUCCCGGUCGAUGUAGAGCUCAGAGAGAAAAAGGUGGUUGGUGGCAGUACGUCGUGACAACUUUACUGUCACCUAACACACAAAGGUGUGUACUACACAUUUCAUCGAGAGUGACUUUGUUGAGGGAAAAAUUGGGGGGCAACAAUACCUACAAAGUGGUGUUGUUCCUACAGUCUUCGCAUGGAACUGGCACAUUCAAGAGACCUGGUGUUUGGGAAAGAAGACUGACACCUCCUGCUCCAACUGAGGAGGAUGAAUAACAAGAUGACAGAUCACACCAGCUACAACCUGCGAGAAGAAUUUGACCUUGCACCUGCCAGUAGUAAGCAUGAAAUCUCUUCAACUUCAGCUCUCCAUUCUGUAUCCUCAGGUAAAGGCAGUCAACCUAACUUGGUACAUUUGGGCACUUGACCUCUAAGAGUCCAAAGUAUAGUCUCACAUUGGGAUCAAAUAUGAUGCCACCUGGAGAGGAUCCUAACCACGGAGCAUCUGGGUGCACUACGAAGCCACACGGAAAGAAGUUAACAUUAUUCAGUGUGCAAUACUACUGUAUAGCCACUGGCUCCAUGGCUAGCCCCCUCUUCAUCUCCACGGUCUGCACACCAGAUCCCUUGAACAUCCGCUCAGCUCGGUGGUCAGCUGAGGUCUCUCCCCGGACAUGGCAAAUCUCUCGGAAACGAGAGGAUGCCAUUCCGGGCUGCUGCUCUGCUCCCAUGUAGCAACCUCGACUUUGUGUGACAUCUCGUAGGUUGUCUCUAAUGCCUUAACGUGGAACUGCUCCUGAUGGCUAAGGAUGUAAGCACACUGGGAAGACUGAAGCCUGUUGCCAUCUAAUGGAACUAUUAGUGGAGCAGGGGCAUCGGCAAUCUUCACAAUUUCACGGGUCUUUGGCUGUGGAAGUUGAUAGGAAAGCACACUGCCAGCUUGCACUGGCCCAAAGGCGGACUCAACCAGGGGCACAUCAGCUGACAUUUCCAUUGUUUUCACAAGAGGGGCAGUAAGUGGAGAAAAGUUGGCAUACGUUUCUGAGAUGCAGAGAAGCUUCAUGUCAGGCAUACGUAUAUCCAUUGAGUGCUUUGUAGAAAACCUCUGCAAAACAUUUUAAAACCUUAACAUCAGGCUGGAGAGAUUACUAUGACAAAGACUCAUGUAACUUUUCCAGAAACAGCACAAGCCCGAAAGUUGAAAUAAAAUCGAUUAAAAUAUACAGAUUUAUAGAUGAUAUAUUUCCCCCGUCUUUGUCCCCAACAUUUGUCAUUACAUCGUAAAGACACCACUGUUUAAGAUCCACAUCUUUUGAACUACCCUGCUCUCUUCGCCUGACUCCUGCACUCACUACUUAUUGAAGCCGUGAAACAAACAAAUCAAUGUAUUAAUAAUACAACAAGUUUUAAUUGCCUUUUUGUUUUUCAUUUUAGUUAAAGUAGUGCCAUAUUGUUUAAAUUCAUUUAUAAAGUGAAAAAUGUUAGGUUUUUGAAUUAGACCAUUUGCAUUUGUGAAUAUGAAAUUUACCUAGUAUUAUUAGCAGUUGAAUUAAAUCUACUACAUUUUUAUCUUAUGUCAGAAUUUCUGAAAUAAAUCAUUUUAUCAAAACCAUCAAAUAGUACAACCGGUCCUAUUUUUUCGUAACAAAAUUCUGUAUGUCAAUCCAAAAAAUUCUACUAAAAACAAAUGCAAAAUUGUCUCCUUCUCCAUUCCACAGAAAUCACAGUUAAAGUCAAUAUUUAGCUUGAAUCUUUCCAAAACAUGUUUCACAAGAUAAAUUAUAUGUAACAUUUUAAAUAUAACUUUGUUACUAAUGCAAUAUUUGUUAGCAAUUUUCCAUGCUUUCCCCCAUUGUAUAUCACCAUAGAUAUUUGUCCAAAAUAAUCUUGCUGAGUGUCACGUUCUGACCAUCGUUCGUAUGUGUUUUCCUUGUUUUAGUGUUGGUCAGGACGUGAGCUGGGUGGGCAUUCUAUGUUGUGUCUAGUUUGUUUAUUUCUGUGUUUGGCCUGAUAUGGUUCUCAAUCAGAGGCAGGUGUAAGUCAUUGUCUCUGAUUGGGAACCAUAUUUAGGUAGCUUGUUUUGUGUUGGGGUUUGUGGGUGAUUGUUUCCUGUCUUUGUGUCGAUGCACCAGAUAGGACUGUUUUUGGUUUUCACAUUUGUUGUUUUGUAAUUUGGAGUGUUCAGUUGGGAUUUAUUAUUAAAGAAGAUGAACACU